rnacentral:lncRNA from 1 species
GGGUUCAAGUUCGAAAUAAGCACAAAAAUAUAAUUCCAUAAGCUUUAGUGAAUAAGUAUUCCUUAUGCAUGAGAAUUUGGACUUUUUGAAGCUUCACAUAAAUUCGCGUCACUUGGGAGUCGAACCCGCGCAGAAAUUCAAGACUGACGCGCUACCUCCACUCUAGCACUCAGUCACGGAGACACAAUGCGCAACAGUAAGCAUUGUCUACAUAAGGUCCAAAAGGACGAUCAAAUAACGAACACCCUCUGAUCUGUAUCUCUCAUGGAGAACCCCAAUUUCGUUGUUUGCACAAUGACAAUAAAGUCUGAAAUCUGAAUAUCGUCGGACAAUGCCAAGGGAUCGGUUCUGUCUGAGAAGCCCCUGACUGCAGCCCGCAGACGGAGUCCACAUGGAGGGGGCCGGCACUCCGCCCACAUGGAGGGGGCGGAUACUCAUGCUGCGUUCGAGUAUUCACUGCGAACCGACUCGGAUCUCGGAUCUGACGCCACGCCCGUCCACAUCGAGGGGGCGGCCACUCAGUUCACAUUGAGGACUGGUCAAACAGCAUUUCUGAUCCCGUUUCUGACCUGAAAUUAGCUGAAAUGUACCUGAAAUUACCUGAAAUUAGAGUGUGCCCGCCCGAGCGAGUGAUGCCUAAAACAUGCAAGAAGAUUAUGUUGUCCUGAAGGACACAAUUCAGGCAGCAGCAUGGUGCCAGUUACAGUCCUUCAAGGACAGCGUUUCUCUCCCAGAGGUCAUUGGGAUGGAAGGUUGGGAGCAGAUGGCAGCAUCAACACAGCGCAAAUCCCAUGACGGCGGGGAUGAGGAAGAAACGUGGAAACCAUUCCAAUUCUCAUUCAGAUUACAUACUGACUAUGAACUGUUCUGUGUGGAGAUAAUGGACAGGAAAAACCUGAAGGUGUUUGCCUCUUUUGAGUCAAGAAACCUCUCCCCCUCCCCGUCCCCCCUCCCGUCCCCCCUCCCGUCCCCCUCCCUGUGACGCCUGCGCCACACGACUCCAAUGUAGUCUGAUGAUGCAGCAUAAUGGCGGCGCUUGGUAGCUAUGGCGGCGGUGACGGCGAUGUCGGGCGACAGAGCGUGAAGCAAGAGUGGCGUCCACCUCACUGAGGAAGGCGUCAGUGUGUCCCCCCCCCCCCCCCCCCACCCGUUGAGACUUUGUUUGUUGUACUCUUUAUUGAUUUAUAUUUUAUGUUUAUAGUUUACAAUCUAUUUUUUGUAGUUAUUUUUUAAUUGUUUUGUUGAAUAAAAAGACUGUUGUUAGUGCUCCUGUGAUUGGUGUAACUUAAUGUGCUUCACACAUGUAGCUUUUCAUUAUGUCUAUUGAGGUACAUUUUUUGCCCUUAGAUGUGGUCACUUCGUUAUUCCUCAGAUUACAUCUGUUAAGGUCAUACCUUUGGGUCCCAGUCUUCAAAGUUCCCCAAAUCUUAUUUUGGCUCUUACUGGGCCUGUAACUCUCACAGACAGACGGGUACAGGAGUUCGGACACGUUGCAUUGUUUACAGGCAAGGGUGGAUUACCGCACGGGCACACCGGGC